AGGAACUGUUUGAGUGAGUGAUGUGAUAACACAUCAAAAACGUAAUUGGGAGGCAAAGGUGAGAUAGGAAAACCUUCAGCAUAAGUUAAAGUAGCUUGGAUGGUCCAGGUUCAGUAGUACUAGGUUGCUCAUCGGAAGGAAACAAUGAUGAAAGGACUAGAGAAUGUUGACCAGAUAUCUAUGGGUGGAGAUCUACUUGAUAGAGCUUAUUUUGGUGAAGAUUCCUCUGACGUUAGAAAAAACAUCAAUAACUAUUUGAAAAUCAGGUACUCAACAUAAAAUGGUACAAGCUUUAUUAUAAACCUUUUCACAAAAUAUUUAGAUAUGUUUUGUGUCAGAAACUGU